CCAAAGGAAAAGCAUUACAAUACCAUCAACUACUUAAGGGCAAUUCCCUGUAUGAUAUUUUAUAAAUACCCCAUUGGAUCAAGCACGGAACCCUUUACACACAGGAAGAGCUCCAUGAAAAGAACUACUGACACCCAACUGGGCCCUUCCCUGCCCAGGUCUCGUCCACGGCCCCACCCACACCCAUCAAUGGUUACUAUAAGCCUUGCCUGAAUUCCCAGAACUACUUCCUUGGGACACUUACCGUGGUCUAUCUUGUCUUCAUCUCCCCUACUAUAUACUGUAAGCUCCUGAAAGAUAUUUGCCUGUGUCACUCUGACUUCUUCCACAUUUUUGCUCAAAUGUCAUCUCAAGAGACACUCCGUGACCAUCCACAUAAAGGAGUAUUACUCCCCUGCAUUCCCUAUUCCCUUUACCCCUUCUUUACAUUCUCUGCAGCACUUUCUCCUUCCCUCCUGACGUGCCUAUGUUGGUGCAUCUUUCCUCUGCUAGAACAUCAACUCUAGGAAAAGACUUAAUUUUGUUCACUGUUAUAUGUACCAGGCCCCAAACCAUAUGUUACAGACACUCAAUACUGUUGAAUAAAA